AAUAAUAGAGUUUGAAAAUAAAUAAAAGACUAGUGGGUUUUGAAAGAGGAAAAGAAAAGGUAGAGUAGAUUAUAGGAGAGACAAAACGGUGAGUAUUACCAAAAAGAGGAACAAAGAGAAAGUUGAAAAUGGCCUUUCACCCUUCUUCAUCAAACCCCUCAAUGCCUCCUCUCCCUCCACCACACCCUAACCAUUCAAUUUCCUUCCCAUUCUAGACAACAACAACUCACACUUUCUCUCUCUACAAAUAUAUAUAACAGAGACAAACAAAACAACCAUUACCAUUACUAGUUCUAGUACCACACAAAACAUCAAAUCCUACUGACUCAAAGUGGAAAAGCUUGACUAUCAACGAACAAUGGAGGAAGACGAUGACAAUGACAAUGACGCGGUUGUGCCGGUAACAUGCAAUGACCGUUAUACCCUUCCUCUCUCAAACACCUUCAACUUCCCUUUGUAAAUCCCAACCGUCCGUUCAUCUUCAUCUUCACCAACAGCUCCCUCAUCUCUCUUCAUUGCGUCCAUAAAGGCAGACAGGAUGGAGCCAGGCAUAAUAUAAUAUCUUAAUAUUUUAAUAUUUAUUUUCUCUUUCUUUUUUUUGGGUUUAGUUUUCAUCAUCACCAACAACACUUUUUUUUUUCUUCUCAUCUAUCAUGGAUUUUGUUGUUAGUAUAUUCUACAAAACUAGAAAUGCUAAAGGAUCAGAAAAAUUGUACCCAGAAUUUUCUUGAUUUAUUGACUUAUAUUUUGUUUUUUUUUAUUAUUGCCUAUUUCUUUCAUGUGAUAAUGAGUAUCAUUUAGGUUUUUAUUUAUUUAUUUAUUUUUAUUUGUUGAAAAUUUUGUUGUUGCUGUUGUUGACUAUGUGAUGUGCUUGGUGUGAUUUUAGAACAAGAUGAGGAUUGAGGAAAAAA
rnacentral:lncRNA from 1 species